rnacentral:rRNA from 1 species
GUGGGGAAUAUUGCACAAUGGGCGGAAGCCUGAUGCAGCGACGCCGCGUGAGGGAUGAAGGCCUUCGGGUUGUAAACCUCUUUCAGCAGGGACGAAGCGUGAGUGACGGUACCUGCAGAAGAAGCACCGGCUAACUACGUGCCAGCAGCCGCGGUAAUACGUAGGGUGCGAGCGUUGUCCGGAAUUACUGGGCGUAAAGAGUUCGUAGGCGGUUUGUCGCGUCGUUUGUGAAAACCCGGGGCUCAACUUCGGGCUUGCAGGCGAUACGGGCAGACUUGAGUGUUUCAGGGGAGACUGGAAUUCCUGGUGUAGCGGUGAAAUGCGCAGAUAUCAGGAGGAACACCGGUGGCGAAGGCGGGUCUCUGGGAAACAACUGACGCUGAGGAACGAAAGCGUGGGUAGCAAACAGG